rnacentral:rRNA from 1 species
GAUGAACGCUGGCGGCGUGCCUAAUACAUGCAAGUCGAGCGAACAGACGAGGAGCUUGCUCCUCUGACGUUAGCGGCGGACGGGUGAGUAACACGUGGAUAACCUACCUAUAAGACUGGGAUAACUUCGGGAAACCGGAGCUAAUACCGGAUAAUAUAUUGAACCGCAUGGUUCAAUAGUGAAAGACGGUUUUGCUGUCACUUAUAGAUGGAUCCGCGCCGCAUUAGCUAGUUGGUAAGGUAACGGCUUACCAAGGCAACGAUGCGUAGCCGACCUGAGAGGGUGAUCGGCCACACUGGAGCUGAGGCACGGUCCAGACUCCUACGGGAGGCAGCAGUAGGGAAUCUUCCGCAAUGGGCGAAAGCCUGACGGAGCAACGCCGCGUGAGUGAUGAAGGUCUUCGGAUCGUAAAACUCUGUUAUUAGGGAAGAACAAAUGUGUAAGUAACUAUGCACGUCUUGACGGUACCUAAUCAGAAAGCCACGGCUAACUACGUG